GAAGUUGGCCAGGCAGUCGCCGCCGGCGCUCGUUCAGACGAGUGCCGGGGGAGGAAAGUCCGGGCUCCAUAGGGCAGGGUGCCAGGUAACGCCUGGGCGGCGCGAGCCGACGGAAAGUGCAGCAGAGAGCAGACCGCCCAAGCAGCGCAAGCUGCCGGCAAGGGUGAAAGGGUGCGGUAAGAGCGCACCGCGCGCCUGGUAACAGUGCGUGGCAAGGUAAACCCCACCCGGAGCAAGACCGAAUAGGCCCCCGAUGCUGUGGCCCGCAGCGGGGGCGGGUAGGUCGCUUGAGCCCAGUGGUGACGCUGGGCCUAGAUGAAUGAUUGUCCGCGACAGAACCCGGCUUAUCGGCCAACUUCCAUU
rnacentral:RNase_P_RNA from 2 species